UGACUGACCGAUAGUGAACCAGUACCGUGAGGGAAAGGCGAAAAGAACCCCGGCGAGGGGAGUGAAAAAGAACCUGAAACCGUGUACGUACAAGCAGUGGGAGCCCCACCACUAAGCCAGUGGUGAGACCACGUCAGCAUCCUUUGCCGAGGAGCGGUUAACGGAGCGCAAGCGACGUUCAACCUCAAAAGAAGCAGAGGGGGCUUAGUGGUGGGGUGACUGCGUACCUUUUGUAUAAUGGGUCAGCGACUUAUAUUCUGUAGCAAGGUUAACCGCAUAGGGGAGCCGAAGGGAAACCGAGUCUUAACUGGGCGUUAAGUUGCAGGGUAUAGACCCGAAACC
rnacentral:rRNA from 1 species